rnacentral:rRNA from 1 species
UACGGAGGGUGCAAGCGUUAUCCGGAUUCACUGGGUUUAAAGGGCUCGUAGGAGGGUGAGUAAGUCAGUGGUGAAAUCUUCGAGCUUAACUCGGAAACUGCCGUUGAUACUACUUGUCUUGAAUACCGUGGAGGUUAGCGGAAUAUGUCAUGUAGCGGUGAAAUGCUUAGAUAUGACAUAGAACACCAAUUGCGAAGGCAGCUCACUACACGAAUAUUGACUCUGAGGCACGAAAGCGUGGGGAUCAAACAGG